AGAGUAAUAGUUUAAUAAAACAUUAAGUUGCAAACUUAAAAUUGACUUAGGUCUUACUCAU
rnacentral:tRNA from 1 species